rnacentral:rRNA from 1 species
GACACGCUGUGACUAGCAUAUCAAUAAGCGGAGGAAAAGAAACUAACAAGGAUUCCCCUAGUAACGGCGAGUGAAGCGGGAAGAGCUCAAAUUUGAAAUCUUAAAGGGUUUCCCUUUACGAAUUGUAGUUUAAAGAAGUGUUUUCUGUUGAGGUUUUGGUAAAAGUUCUUUGGAAUAGGACAUCAUAGAGGGUGAGAAUCCCGUAUUUGACCUUUACUUUCAACUUUGUGAUACACUUUCAAAGAGUCGGAUUGUUUGGGAAUGCAGUCCAAAAUGGGUGGUAAAUUUCAUCUAAAGCUAAAUAUUGGCGAGAGACCGAUAGCGAACAAGUACCGUGAGGGAAAGAUGAAAAGAACUUUGAAAAGAGAGUUAAACAGUACGUGAAAUUGUCAAAAGGGAAGCGUUUGACACCAGUGUUGUUUUUCUGAAAAUCGAUUAAAGAACUGUUUAUGCUAAGUUGUUUAGACUUUAUCAGCUAACUGUUUAGUUUUGAGCUUUUCUUUAAUGCACUUUUCAGUUAACAAGUCAACAUCAAUUUCUUUUGCUGUAAAAAAGCUUGAGGAAGGUGGCUUGAGAUUCGUCUUAAGUGUUUAUAGCCUCUUGCCUAUGCAGUCGGAGAGAUUGAGGUCUGCAGCGUAGAUCCUUCGGGGCUAAAUGCAUUUGUGCUAAGUUAUAGCAUUUUAUAGACAACUUGUUGACUAUGAUUUGUCUUGUAGCUUACUCGCUUAUGUUAUUUUACCUACGCUUAGGAUGUUGAAGAUGUAGCACAUCAU